GUAAUUAUGUGGAUUUAUUUCUUCAAAAAUUUUCAGUUAACACUGUGGCAUUUUCAUCAGCUCCGUCUGUGAUUUCCAUCAGCUCCGUCUGUGAUUUCCAUCAGCUCCGUCUGUGUGCUAAUCUGAUGCCCUGUGCUUCUGAAUGAGUGUUUCUUAAGUUCUAGUGGGUCUGUGCUUGUGGGAGGAGCCGGAGCACAGCUGGUCUCUCAUUGGUUGGCCUGGCUGGAGAGGUUGUAUCUCACACCGCAGGGAUGGAGCGAUCAGCCUCACACAGAGAGAGAGAGAGAGAGAGAGAGAGUGAGGAGCUGCUGGAAAACUGUGCCUUUCAGUCCGAGACAUUCACAUAUCAAUACAGGGCUGCGUCAGUGCCAGAUCAGAGCCGGAGUUCAGCUUCAUACGCUGCACAGAGACACUCAGAGUCCAUCAUGAAGGGCUCUGCGGAGAGACGCUGUGUAACACUGUGGAAGGAUCUCAGCUGCGCAGAAGUGAGGGGAACAGUAUGUCAAGUUGCAUUUUCUGACCUCUGUCUAAUUGACAGGUUUUAUUUUUGAAGAUAAAAAUGGAAUAUGUUUAAGUGUUUUUUUAUCAGUUCUUACAUGUAAAGUUUCUUUUGUUUGUUGCUGCCUAUAAGUUGUUCAUCUCUUCUCAAAUUCGAAAAAAAAAGACCAUAAUAAAACAGAACCAUAUUAAUUUUGUACCCUUAUCAGAAUGUUUAAUACAUAUAUCUGCUUACCUGUUAAUAAUGUUAAAUGCUACAUAGUCAUUAUAUUAUGGAGGAUGCUUUGUUUCAGUUCAGCCUUUUCUAUUGAUUUAUAAAGUAAAAAUGGCAUGUAUUCACCAUUGUAUUUCACUGUGUUUUGAAGCUGAUUAACAAUCUGCUGUAAGUCAGUUUUUUUACCUAUAAAAUGAAAAUGGCCACUUCUAGUUAUAUUUAGUUUAUCAUUGUAAAAGCUGUGCGUGCAGGUUACAAUAUGGAUAAAUUCAGCUUUUAUUAAAUGUGGAGAUCAACGUGGCCAUCAUCAUAAACUCCUCAC
rnacentral:lncRNA from 1 species